rnacentral:tRNA from 1 species
GGCCCCGUGGUUCAAUGGAUAGAACAGCCCCCUCCUAAGGGGCAGAUACAGGUUCGAUUCCUGUCGGGGCUA